UCCUCGGCGCGGACAAGCCCCUCCUCCUUCCUCCUUCAUCCUCCUCCUCCUCGGUGCUCGUGCAGUGUUGAGCGCCGAACGCCUGCAGCAUCGGACAAACAGGCGAUGACGUCAUUUGGUGAUAAAUUAACCGCAACAUUAGCGCCACUGAAAACAUUACGUCGCAGCUUUGCGUGAUUUCGAAGCUUUGUCGAGCUGUUUACACAGAGAAAGAGAAGAGAGAAGUGAAAUUUUAAGCGUGCAGAUCAUCCAGUCAUUUCAACAGGGUGGAAAUGGACUCCGCGUUCUUGCAUCAGUGCGUCCAUCAAACAGGUUGGAUGUCCAGUGUCUCUCUGAAUAGUCCAACGCUGUCCUCUGCAGUCUGACGGGCUCACCUUCGCCCUCUGAGCCUCCUCCGUCUUGUUCUCACUGGAAAUGUGUAAUUUAGCCACUUUGCGUUAGAAGCAAACAGGAGACUCCCACACACUCUUCCGUCGACCCGGAGAUGACCGGGCUACAUGAGAGGCUUUUCCAGGAAGUGUUAUUGGAUAUUUUGGACACUCAACUCAAAAGGAGUGGGAGCGUCCACUGAGAAAACGAAGAAUGUUCCCCUUUCACCUCGUUUCCUCCCCAGAGUUGCAGCUAUGCAACAGAUAUCGGACGUGUGAACUGAAUUUAAGGGCGAAUUAAGGAAAACAUGUCCCCAAUUCUUUGCGUUUGGAUCGAUAGUAUUAGACUUUAAGCUAAACUAAACUAAUGGCCUGGUUAUGAUUUUCUCACAUGCUUUUUGUGUAUUGUAUGUGUAUGUAAGAGCUCGCUAUUUGAGACUAUUCACAACAUCUCUUCUGUUUCUCCUCCUGUUUUUCUGCAUCACUGACUUUUUGGGUGACGGUUGAAAUACGAUCCGCUAUUUAGUUUCUCUGCAAUGCAACUCCCACAUGAAAGCGCCGCGUCGGCCUCUUAAUACGUUUGCCAAAUUCCCACUGCGCAUUGAAGCGAAUGAUUGGGACACAAUCGUAGCAGACUUUGGAAAUACAUGUAACGUGUUAAGUUAUUUGCCGUGUGUGCUUUAAAGACACUCUGUCCUUCGACUCUGCACGUUAAGAUAAAAGAAACAUAAAAACUAACUGGGAGACGAUCCCGUAUACGUCACCUCUGGGCAAACAAGAAAUGUUCGCCCAUUUCCCUCCAUCCGUUUCAUUCUCAGGAGGCAUUAUUCAAAAGGUGCGAGUUCAGUGAAAGCAGCAACACGAGGCUCAGUCCACUUUUCAAGACUUUUAAUAAAACUUUUAAAACAUUUGUGA